rnacentral:misc_RNA from 1 species
AAGUCGUAACAAGGUUUCCGUAGGUGAACCUGCGGUUGGAUCAUUAAAAGAAGGGUCGGGAUCAUCGUGGUCCAAGUGGUCCGUCCACUUGGACCACGAUGAUACCGGUGAUCCCGGAGGAAGGAAGCAGGGGCGGGUUGCUCAGGCAUCCCCUGCUCUGCUUUUUGUCCCCACGUUGUGUGAGUUUUUUUAGUUUUUUUUUUUACUUGUCCUCUGGACGCAAAACCAAAGAAAACAACUUUUGGCAACGGAUCUCUUGGCUCUC